AUUGAACGCUGGCGGCAGGCUUAACACAUGCAAGUCGAGCGGAGAUGAGGUGCUUGCACCUUAUCUUAGCGGCGGACGGGUGAGUAAUGCUUAGGAAUCUGCCUAUUAGUGGGGGACAACAUUCCGAAAGGAAUGCUAAUACCGCAUACGUCCUACGGGAGAAAGCAGGGGAUCUUCGGACCUUGCGCUAAUAGAUGAGCCUAAGUCGGAUUAGCUAGUUGGUGGGGUAAAGGCCUACCAAGGCGACGAUCUGUAGCGGGUCUGAGAGGAUGAUCCGCCACACUGGGACUGAGACACUGCCCAGACUCCUACGGGAGGCAGCAGUGGGGAAUAUUGGACAAUGGGGGAACCCUGAUCCAGCCAUGCCGCGUGCGUGAAGAAGGCCUUAUGGUUGUAAAGCACUUUAAGCGAGGAGGAGGCUACUGAGACUAAUACUCUUGGAUAGUGGACGUUACUCGCAGAAUAAGCACCGGCUAACUCUGUGCCAGCAGCCGCAGUAA
rnacentral:rRNA from 1 species